CCCUUAGAUGUCCUGGGCCGCACGCGCGUUACACUGAUACAUUCAACGAGCUUAUAACCUUGGCCGAGAGGCCUGGGCAAUCUUGUUAACGUGCAUCGUGAUAGGGAUAGAUUAUUGAAAUUAUUAAUCUUGAACGAGGAAUUCCUAGUAAACGCAGAUCAUCAAUCUGCAUUGAUUACGUCCCUGCCCUUUGUAUACACCGCCCGUCGCACCUACCGAUUGGAUGGUCCGGUGAAGCCUCGGGAUUGUGGUUCUUGCCGCUUUAUUGUGGCGUGACCGCGAGAACUUGUCUAAACCUUAUCAUCUAGAGGAAGGUGAAGUCGUAACA
rnacentral:rRNA from 1 species